GACGUAGGGUGCGAGCGUUGUCCGGAUUUAUUGGGCGUAAAGAGCUCGUAGGCGGCUCGUCGCGUCGACCGUGAAAACCCGCAGCUUAACUGCGGGCCUGCGGUUGAUACGGGCGGGCUAGAGUUCGGUAGGGGAGACUGGAAUUCCUGGUGUAGCGGUGAAAUGCGCAGAUAUCAGGAGGAACACCGGUGGCGAAGGCGGGUCUCUGGGCAGAUACUGACGCUGAGACGCGAAAGCGUGGGGAGCGAACAGG
rnacentral:rRNA from 1 species